UAUUUGCUUGAAUUACUUCAUCUAGUCCAAGGUCCAUUCUUCAGAAGAAACAUCAUAUUUGUUAUUCCAUGGAUCAACAAGAAUCACUGAAAAAACUCCGGCGCCUUGAACAUCGAACCAGGCCCAAAGUUCUGAAACAUAUCAAAAUCGCAAGCGUAUUAAAGUCGGUAACCCUUCAAGCCUGAAGGUUUUGUAAUAAGCUAAAAAAAAUUGAUUACCUGUAAACCAACCAUCAUGCUCAAUAUAUCCAAUGUAUUGUUCCCCUCAACAAGACUAAUUUUCUCAUUGAUUGAAAAGCUUGCAUCAUCAUGAUUACCAUAUCCAAAAGCU